CCUGGAAUUCAUUGUCAGUACUUGGCAUUUAUCCACAACCAGCGGAACCACUGUUAGUAGGCCUGUUUUCUUUACUCAGAACAUAAUUUGGUACUGUCAAGUUAAUCUAGCUACAAAUGAAUGGAAUUUUUUAUCUUUAAAGGUUUUUUUUCACAUUUCAUUUAUAUACUAUCUCUAGUGAGGUCAAAUCCCCCUGUAAAUAUUAUCUAAUUUAUUCUCAUAACAUGUCUAAGAGAUCAGGUUCAUUUGUCUUUAUUGUUAGCAUCUGGUUUUAAGAGAUUCACAUUUACUUUGUUGGGAAUCACCAGGAAUAAAUCUUAUGUAGACGCUAAUGAAAAAUAUAAUAGGAGAUAAAUACAGGUAUGUCUGCAAACGAAGAUAUUUUCCCACCUUUGAUAUCUGUUGACUAAAAGGAUAAAAAGUGGAUCAACUUACGAUGAUUAAAUAGUAAUAAAAAGCAGCAUUUAAUCUAAAUCUCUCCUUCCCAUGAUUACAGCAUGCUAAAUAUUACUCAAUACUAGAGAGUCUGCUGAUGAGCUCUGUAAAUGUUUUCCAAUAAAAUUAAAUAGAUUAGAUUUGGAAAGCAAAUGUUAAUGUUUCUAAGCCUUUAAAAGUCUUCUUUUAAAACUUUCCUGAAAAAUACAAGUUAAGACUAUGUCACAGUGUCAUCAGUCCGAGCAGGGUGAACAUCAUUGUUUCCACAAGGACAGACUAGGCAGAGGCAACCAUCAUGUUCAAGAAGUUCUUGUCAUCUAUGAUCCUUUAUUGUUAAUUCUCUUCAUGUAUUUUGCCUGCUGCUUUGUUUUGCUUGUCAAAAUUUGUUACUGAGACAAGACUAAGAUCAUCCUACCCUGACAGCCGCAGAUUGAGUCAGCAUGACGCACCAUGAGGAAAUUGAAGGCAUUGAGAUGACAAGCCCCAAACCACUUGCUUUGUAAAUGGAAAUGGAGAGAAAGGGCCAGUGCAAAGCAUCAAGGACUCUUUUAAGGACAAUCUGAAUUACUGGUAAAGUUGAAGCUAUAAUGGAACGGUCUGGAAAGGCAGAACGUCUCCUGGUUCCUACUGGAGCAUCAUUUGUUGCCUCCUUCAAUGCCUCCUUUCCCAUGAUCAUAGUCAUUAGACGGCUACAGGAAAUGCAGAAGUAUUCCCGCUAAAGUAUAGACUUCACUGCUUGAAUUCAUGAUGCCUUACUAAGAGAGAGCAUUAUGCAUUUCUUCCUUUCAUCCUCCUGCAAACCAAGGUGUUAAGAGAACACCACGAGGGUCUCACAUCAUGCACAUUUCACCCCUGCAGUCUGUGCCGAGGAUAUGCAGUUUACUGCUGGUUACGUUCUGGUAAGAUCAUCUGACACCCCCCAGCUCGAAGUCUAGUGUUGUAGGCUCUUGAAUGCAUUAAUCUUAAUCAAACCUCAAAUAGCUGAAUAAGAGGGAGAGCACAGAAUUAUUUUGAAUAACUAAGAGUGCAUUUGAGUCAGGAGAGCUUUAAAUGGGGAAAAUGAGUUUCAGAAACUUGACUGCCUGUUAAAUACACUUAAUUUUGGGUGAUCACAAACUUUCAUUUAUUACUUAUCUAGUAAGUAUGUAGGGACAGCACAAAUCUAAAAAACAGAUGGUAGGAAAGCAGAUUACAGCUAUCUGAACAGUGUGUGCAUGUAUUAGUCUGCUCAGGCUGUUAUAAAAAUAUACCAUGAACAACAGACAUUUAGUCUAAGAUCAAGGUGCUACCAACUCAGAUCCUAGUGUGCAGACAGCUACUAAUCCCAUCAUGAGUACCCCACCCUCAUGACUUCAUCUAAUCUCAAUUAUCUCCGGAAGCCCUCAUCUCCAAAUACCAUCACAAUAGAAUAGAGCUUCAACAUAUAAGUUUGGUCCACAGCAGUGCAUUAAAGGCCAAUGAAGAUAGUCACUUGGCAAUUAUAAUACAAACAAAGAUGAAGACUUUUAUUCUUGCUUUUCACCUUAUAAUUAUAUAUAUAUUCUUUACAAUUGUCUUGAAAACCUUAAGUUUAUAUGUAUAUCAUACUGAUAUCAAGUCUGGAAAUAAGGUUCCUGAUGAUAGUUUCAUCACAAUAUUGAAGCUUAUUUGUUCUAAAAUUAAUUUAUUCUCCUACCCGCAUAGAACCUUUUAAAAAUAUAGUUGUGACAAAUUUAAUGACUACUAACUCACAUAAUCCUACCCUACAAGGACAAAUUUGAUACAACUCUAUGAGGGCAAAUAUACUUCUAGCAUGUUAGAAAAAAUAUCUUACACUUUCUAGUAUAUGCAAUUAGAAAGUGAGCGUGGUGGACAAAUGGGACAUGGAAAGACUCCCUUCCUAGUACAGAUUCAUGGAAGUGACGGAUAGAAUGAAGCAACAAAACUCCCCGGACGUCAGAAAUAAACAAGAAACAAAAGCCAAAGCAAUAAGUACAAGCUGAUGCUACAGGGACCUAUGGGGAUUUAGUCCUGGAUAAAGACUCUUAGAGAUGAGGAUGGGACAGGAAAUAAGGCCUUAGAUUUACUGGGUUGGAAGGCUGAAGCCAGUGCCCUGCAGAAAGUCCAGAGCCUCAGAAAGAGAGCUAGCAAAACAUACCACUUGGCCUGUAGAAGGAGCAAGGAAGUUUGCUGUUAUUGAUCCCUAGAGUGAGCACAGGUCAAGGAAGGGACAUCUUUUGAAAGAAACUAACACCAGCCUGGGUCACAUAUUGAGAGGUCUGAAUUUAUACUAUUUGCUUAGAAUCCUAGCCCUAAGUCCAUUAUCUUGGAAUGGACUCUCUAAGCCAGUAAAUUAACAUAAAAAUAGGGCCAGAACCUUGAACACCUAGGAAUCUGAUAGAAGCAAGUGCAAAAGCACCCUGUGAGGUUACAUUCACAACCUAGGGUUCACAAACUGUCUUAGUCUGUUCAGGCUGCCGUAACAAAAUACCACAGACUGGGUGGUUUAAAUAACAGAAUAUAUAUAUAUUUUUUCUCACAGUUCUGGAGGCUGGAAGUCCAAGAUCAAGGUGUUGGCAGGUUUGGUUUUUCCUGAGGCCUUUCACCUUGGCUUGCAGACAGCUGCCUUCUUGCUGCAUCUUCACAUGGCCUUUACUCCGUGUAUGACAUCCUUGGUGUCUCUUCCAAUUCCUAUAAGGAAACUAGUCAUAUUGGAUUAGGAACCCAUCCUUAUGACCUUAUUUAAUGUUAAUUAGCUCUUUAAAGGUCCUAUGUCCAAAUAUAGUCCCACUGGGGGUUAGGGCUAUGAUGUAUGCAUUUAGGGGUGGGUACAGAAUUCAUUUCAUAACAGAAGCCUCUCUGAAAAACAACUGAACCCACUGGAGAUGAAUUCACAACAACAACAACACGUUAUAAAGUACACAAGGAAUAGUACUCUACAGGAGAGCCAUCAGAGGGAAAAAUCAAGAGAAGCAGCACCAAAACAACUACAGAUGGCAGAACGAAAUCAAAGACACUCUAAAAUAAAUAAAGAGCAAAGAAAUUUAAAAAAAGAAUUGAGAACAUCAUGAAACAAUAGGACACCGUGAAAAUAAAGAAUAGGCAAAUUUGAAAUGAAACAAAUAGCAUGUCUAGAAAUGGAAAUUAUAGUCAUUAAAAUCUCACCAGCUAAGUUAAACAGCAUGUUAGACACAUCCAAAGAGAAAAUUAACCAACUGGAAGAUAUAUUUGAGGAAACCACUUAGAAUGAAGUACAGAGAGAAAGAGAUGAAUGGUUCAGAGAUGUGGAAGAUAAAAUGAGAAGGUCCAAUGAAAAUGUCUCAUGAGACAUAGGGAGAGAGUAAGAAAUGGGAGACAGGUAACAUUCAGAAAGAAAGACAAUAAAAUUUUCUAUAAUGGAAUGCAAGGGUAUAAAAAUGGAAGUACACUGAUUCCCAAGGAGGAAAAACAAAAGCAAGUAUAUAUCUAGUUGGAGAAAAAUCCAACAAUUCUAAAGUUUCCCAUGAAGGAAAUCUCAAUAAAUAACAAAAAAUUGGUUUCAUAUAGAACAUAUUCUCUGAUCAUAAUGCAGUAAAAUUAGAAAUUAGUAGCAAAAUAAUAACUGCUAGGAAAAUGAAAAUGACCAUAGUAUCAAUAAAAAGGGUCUGGAUAACACAAACUAUAUUAAAACAUGAAUCUUUUAAACGAUUUCAUUACCUCAAUACAUAGAAGAAAACAAGUUUUUAAGGUAUUUGGUAUAUACUUGUGCCUGAUUAUUUACAAUUCUGGUUUCAUGAGCAAGUAAUUUUCCUUUGCCUCAUGGCUAUUCCUGAGACUAUUUUGUUAGCCUCUGUUUGACCCUGAUAUUAGAGGACUAUAUUUUGUUGGAACUUUACAAAGUACUUUCACAUACAUCCUAUCAGCAUCUAAUCUCUCCUUCUUGGUCAUACAAGUCAGAGAUGUAUUUGCAACAUCCUUAACUAGCAUGCAAAUCACUUACCAAUAUGCAAAUGAACAAAUACUACUGCAGUCAGAAAUUUCUUGCCAAGUGAUUUUACUUCCUUUCACAGCACAUAGAGACCUCAUGACGUAUGCCCAGUGAGUAGAGCUUUACAGAGGAAAAUUACUGACAUUAAGGACUGAGGAGCUUGAAGACAGUACUCUCCCACCAAUAGUAAAUAUUAGAUACAAGUUAUAAUAGGUUUGUUAUUUAAUUGAUCUAAUUCAAAAUAGCCUUAAAAUAUUUUAUAAUGGAGCAGAGACAGUGUAAAUAGAAAAACUUAUUUUUCAUUUAAAACCUGACUAUGAAAAUUAAAUAGAUCAUUUUUGGAAAAAAAAUAUUUGACUGACUUUUAAAACAUGACCGCUUUGACUUUAGGCCCUUAAGACCUAAAAUUCUGUUGAAGAUUAUGUUCAUGUAAUUUCUUUAAUAAAUCACCCAUAGAGGCCUGCUUUGGGAGGUUCUUGUCUCUGAAUGUGUUGCUAGUGAAUUUUGAUUGCUAUUCCAGAGGGGCAGGGCACUGAGUCUUGAGCAAUGUUGCAUAGGCCCAGUAGCAUUCAGAACCCCAGACACAACCAAAUGGCAAAGCAUUUGACGUAAAACUCUCUCGGUGCUUAUUUAUUUAUUUUUGGUAUAUGUUACUAAGACGUCCUUUUCAGCUAUGUUGUGCUGACCGUUCACUUUGACAUGAACUCUUUCUAUUCACUGGCUUCCACAUGAAAUCCUAUCAGUCCAAUAGUCUAAAAGAUUUACUGAAGAUUUGUGGUGGCGUAGUGAGGAGUUACAUCCCACACUGUGCUCACCUUCACCCCACAACCCCAUGACCACGUCCUACCCCAUCCCUGACCCUGGGUCCCCAACCAUCAGAAGUCCCGUUUCCUCACACACUCUCCAGCACAGCCUCCACUGGAGCCUCGCUCUUUCCUCCAGGAUUUUCUCAAUGUAAACUCGUUUGCCACCUGCCCACCCCACCCCGCCACCGCUGCCUAGUAAGCAGGGUAAUUCAGUCAUCAAGCCCAAGUCCCCUAGCUUAUCCAGAACCUAGUAAACUGACAGCUACAAGAAUUUAUCCUCAGAGAGAAAUGAGGGAUACAACCAACAAGAAUUCCGUUACGUAUAAACAUAAAUGCUUUAUUAAACUAGCGGUACUGACAUUUUUUCCCCCAAAACACGUUUGUCUUAUGAAUAAAUUAAAAUGCAAUAUAAAGUCAUUUUUAAAGAAAUGCAAUCAUCUAACAACAGGUUGGUUAUAUUUCCACAUUAUUACUAAUAUAUCAUAACUAAAAUUUGAGUUUAUUUUGGGGUAGACAGACACUUCUGGAUUAAAACCACAUGGACUCGGCUUUUACAAAGGCUUUUACAAAGUCUAGAUAGCCCUUGACUCAGACUUCAAAUGCUUUUAAUUCAGUUCUCAUCCAAAUUAAUCUCAACAGGUGCUCAGUAAAUAUUGGUUUAAUGAAUGGAAGGGACUGUAAAUACUACAACUUCCAGAUUCCUUGGGUCAAAACUCUGCCUGUCUUCCGAUAUAUCUUCUCUUUUUUCCCUUACUGAAUCAAAAACAAAAACAAAAUACACUAGUCUCCCUUGCCCAAACCAAAAAAGAAACAAAAGAAGGAAAAAUAAAUAUUAAUAAAUUAGAAUAAAAUAAAUUAAAUGUUAUAACAAAUAUUCUUAAGAUAGUAAAUAAAAUAAUUUUUAAAUAACCCUUACUUCAUAUUUAAAAGUAAACUAAAAAUGCUUACCUACCAACAUAUUUUAAUUAUAUCAGAUUUUAAUUUAGUCACUUCAUUACAAUGCCUGCAAUUUUAUAGGCUCUUUAGUACAAGGGAUAAUUCAUUUCUUAACAUUAGUCAAUUGAUUAAAAAAUAAACCAUUGAGCAUCAAAAACAAUCUGGAACCUGAAACAACGGUUUGCAAACAUAGGUAAAUAGUUACUUCCACAUAAAAUCCUAGAAUCGUGAGUUCAUAGAAUUUUAGAGGUUAAACUGUAGAAUAACAUGAUUCUCAGAGAUUUAGAAAUAUUAAAGAAUUUCAUUUACAUAAACCUGCCUUUAGCAUUUAGGUUACUUCAUCUAGCAUCGAUGUUCUAAUUUUCCAGCGAUAACACUUUGAGGAGCAUUAGUUAAAUCAAGCAGGUUAAAACACUGCUACUGAUAAACCAUAAGCCCAGUGAUCUGAGAUUUAGACAGUGAUCUUUCUAUAAAAUUGUGUAUGGAAUCUAACAGUGAUUAACUUUUAGAUCAAUCCUAUUUCCCUCAAAAUAUAUAAAAUUUCAGAAGAUAUGUGAGAUAAUUUGGGAAAGAGAGUAUGGAUAAAAAGAAGGAGUUUGAAAUAUGUUCCCCAAAGAGGGAAUUGCAAUAGAAAUGAUAAAGAAAAAAUUUGGCAAAGUAAUUAAGGAGAAAGUUCUGAGCCAGGCUUGAAAUCCUCAUGAAUGUUCUAUGCUUUAUAUUCUUAAUUUAUUUUAUUCUAAAGAUUUUAUGAAAAUGGUCAUCAUUAUUCUUUGGCUUUUCAUUGUUCUUUCCUAAUGUUUUCCUUCUUUCUGAAACAUAAAUCUAUCUUUGAGGUAAUGAUUAUGUAUUAAAGUUACAUCAAACAACUAUCUUAAGAUUAAAUCAAAUAGAAGAAUGCAUUUUCUUUGGAAAAUUGAUUAAAUCAAGGCUCCCUAGUGAGAGAUAUAAAUAGAAAUGAUUUUAAAUCAAAUUCACUCUGGAUAAGGCAUCUACUGGUAAAAUUAGGAAUAUCCUUUUAAAGCAGAAUGUUUAUUACACAUUCUUGGAAAAACAUUUUUAAUACAUAUGACAAUGUGUUAAUUUCCUUAAUAUCCAAAUAUUCUUACAUAUUAAUAAAAAGUAAACAAGUUAAGUUUAAAACAAUAGAUAAACAGUUUGUUUGCAGGGAAAAAACUGAUUGAUAAACAUAUACAAAGUUCAAGUUCAGUUAUAGUUGAAGAAAUGAAAAUUUCUAAAAUUGAAAAAUGAAUUUUCUUUUUUCAUAUUGCCGGGGAUGAAAAUAUUCGUUGUGAGUGUGGGAAACUGCAGUCUCAGAUCCAUCAGUAGGAGUGUAAAUUGAUAGAAACUUUUUAGAGAGCAAUUUGGCAGGAUGUGUUAAAUUUUAACACAUGAGUUUUACUUUUCAAUUUAAAUAACACAUCCUUUGAUCUUACAAUUCCAUUUAGAAAUUUACCCUAUAGUUUUUUACACAGAUGUACAACAAUAAUCAUUGUCAUGUUAUUUGUAAAUAGCCAAAAAAACCCAAAAAAACAAAAAGCUGAAGAUCCAUCAAUAAGGAUCUAGUUCUCUUAAAAAUGAUGGCACAUCUGUGCUUGCAUGCAGAUGUUUAAAGGAAGGAAAUAGAGCUAUAUAUGCUACUAGAAAGAAGUCCAAGAUAAAUUGUUUCAUGUAGAAAGAAAAGGCAAGUUGGAGAACAUAUAUUGUAAUCCCAUCUGUCUGAAGUAAAUAUAUAUAUAUUUUUUUAAUAAAUUUAUUUAUUAUUCA